UGGGGAAUAUUGGACAAUGGGGGCAACCCUGAUCCAGCAAUGCCGCGUGAGUGAUGAAGGCCUUCGGGUUGUAAAGCUCUUUCGGUGGGGACGAUGAUGACGGUACCCACAGAAGAAGCCCCGGCUAACUUCGUGCCAGCAGCCGCGGUAAUACGAAGGGGGCGAGCGUUGUUCGGAAUUACUGGGCGUAAAGGGCGCGUAGGCGGUUUGUUAAGUUAGGCGUGAAAGGCCCGGGCUCAACCUGGGGAGUGCGCUUAAGACUGGCAGGCUGGGAUGCGAGAGAGGAUGGCGGAAUUCCCAGUGUAGAGGUGAAAUUCGUAGAUAUUGGGAAGAACACCGGUGGCGUAGGCGGCCAUCUGGCUCGUGAUUGACGCUGAGGCGCGAAAGCGUGGGGAGCAAACAGG
rnacentral:rRNA from 1 species